AAGUAGGUGGAAAUGUUAAGUAUAAUCCGUUCAUGGACCCAAGUGAUGAACUAGGAUAUCCACAAGCUACUCCAAGUGCUCAAAAUUUUCCAGGUUUAGAUACUCUAAAUACUUUAGCUACUCCAAGUGUGACAAAUUUAC